CCCUUAGAUGAUUUGGGCUGCACGCGCGCUACACCGACCCUAACAAUGAGCAACUGUCUGGCCUGAGAUGGCUGGGUAGCCUUUUCAACCCAUGUCAUGAUUGGGCUAGAUUUUUGUAAGUCUUGAUCUCUAACGAGGAAUCCCUAGUAUGCGUGAAUCAUCAAUCCAUGCAGAUUAUGUCCCUGCCCUUUGUACACACCGCCCGCCGCUCCUACUGAUUGGGUGAUCCGGUGAGCUGUUCGGCCAUAGCAAUGUUUCUUGAGCAGGGCAAUGAAUGUUUCGCAAACCUUGCCACUUAGAGGAAGGAGAAGUCGUAACA
rnacentral:rRNA from 1 species